UACGUAGGGUGCAAGCGUUAAUCGGAAUUACUGGGCGUAAAGCGUGCGCAGGCGGCUUUGCAAGACAGAUGUGAAAUCCCCGGGCUUAACCUGGGAACUGCAUUUGUGACUGCAUGGCUGGAGUGCGGCAGAGGGGAUGGAAUUCCGCGUGUAGCAGUGAAAUGCGUAGAUAUGCGGAGGAACACCGAUGGCGAAGGCAAUCCCCUGGGCCUGCACUGACGCUCAGGCACGAAAGCGUGGGGAGCAAACAGG
rnacentral:rRNA from 1 species